GCCAAAUUCUAGCCCAACGAACCCAAGACACCUAAGAAAAAGAAAAAAUAUACUACCCAUCAAUCAACUAAAACAUUCUACAAACCAAGUAUAGGCGAUAGAAAAGAUCCUCAGGCGCUAUAGAACUCAGUACCGUAAGGGAAGGAUGAAAUAAUACAAAUGAAAACCAAAGCAAUAAACAGCAAAGAUCAACCCUUGUACCUCUUGCAUCAUGGUUCAGCAAGAAUAACCAAGCAAAACGAACUUAAGCUUGCCCUCCCGAAACCCAAGCGAGCUACUCGUAGGCAGCUAUCUGUGAGCAAACCCGUCUCUGUCGCAAAAGAGUGGGAUGACCUACUAGUAGAGGUGAAAAGCCAAUCGAGCUGGGUGAUAGCUGGUUGCCCGCGAAAUGAGUCUAAGCUCUACCUUGACCCUCCUCUCACUCCCUGUUCAAACACCUAAGCCUAAACGUAGCAAGUCAAGAGUAAUUUAAAGGGGGUACAGCCCCUCUAAAAAAGGACACAACCUCCCCUAGUGGAUAACUACUCUCUCCUAUUAACUGUGGGCCCCUAAGCAGCCACCACCAAAGAAUGCGUCAAAGCUCUCUAGCCUAAAAAUUCAAACACAUUAAGUGACUCCCUCACUAGUAGCUGGCCAACCUAUAAAAAUAGGCACAUCAAUGCUGAAAUAAGUAACAAAGGUGUUACCUCCCCUCCUAAGCGCAAACUUACAUUAUUACAUUAUUACCGACCUAUGACCAAUAAAACAACCCAAGCUAGCCCAAAUAUUACUACCCCCGUUAACCCAACUCAGGAGCGCCUUAACCGGAAAGAUUAAAAUCUGUAAAAGGAACUAGGCAAACCCCAGACCCGACUGUUUACCAAAAACACAGCCUUCAGCCAACCAAGUAUUGAAGGUGAUGCCUGCCCAGUGACACCCACCCUGUUCAACGGCCGCGGUACCCUAACCGUGCGAAGGUAGCGCAAUCAAUUGUCUCAUAAAUUGAGACUUGUAUGAACGGCUAAACGAGGUCUCAACUGUCUUUUACAGAUAAUCAGUGAAAUUGAUCCUCCCGUGCAAAAGCGAGAAUAAGCACACAAGACGAGAAGACCCUGUGGAACUUAAAAAUCAACAGCCACAGCAAAUACCCCCUAACCUACCUAGGCCCACAGUCACCUUAAACCACUGGCUUUCAUUUUUCGGUUGGGGCGACCUUGGAGAAAAACAUAACCUCCAAAAACAAGAACUCACCUCUUAACUAAGAACUACUCUUCAACGUACUAAAAGUAACCAGACCCAGCACAACUGACUAAUGAACCAAGCUACCCCAGGGAUAACAGCGCAAUCCCCUUUAAGAGCCCCCAUCGACAAGGGGGUUUACGACCUCGAUGUUGGAUCAGGACAUCCUAGUGGUGCAGCAGCUACCAAGGGUUCGUUUGUUCAACGAUUAAUAGUCCUACGUGAUCUGAGUUCAGACCGGAGCAAUCCAGGUCGGUUUCUAUCUGUGACACACUCUCCCCAGUACGAAAGGACCGAGAAAGUAAGGCCAAUGCCACAGGCACGCCUUCCCUAAAAAUAGUGAACCCAACUAAAUCACCAAAAGGACCUCAUCAUUCUCACCCCAAGAAAAGGGGC
rnacentral:rRNA from 1 species